GAGUUUGAUCAUGGCUCAGAUUGAACGCUGGCGGCAUGCUUUACACAUGCAAGUCGAGCGGCAGCGCGGGGGCAACCCUGGCGGCGAGCGGCGAACGGGUGAGUAAUACAUCGGAACGUACCCCGUAGUGGGGGAUAACCCGGCGAAAGCCGGACUAAUACCGCAUAUGCUCUACGGAGGAAAGUGGGGGACCCGCAAGGGCCUCAUGCUAUGGGAGCGGCCGAUGUCCGAUUAGCUUGUUGGCGGGGUAAAGGCCCACCAAGGCGACGGUCGGUAGCUGGUCUGAGAGGAUGAUCAGCCACACUGGGACUGAGACACGGCCCAGACUCCUACGGGAGGCAGCAGUGGGGAAUUUUGGACAAUGGGGGCAACCCUGAUCCAGCCAUGCCGCGUGCGGGAAGAAGGCCUUCGGGUUGUAAACCGCUUUUGUCCGGGAAGAAAAGGCAUCUCCUAAUACGAGGUGCUCUUGACGGUACUGGAAGAAUAAGCACCGGCUAACUACGUGCCAGCAGCCGCGGUAAUACGUAGGGUGCGGGCGUUAAUCGGAAUUACUGGGCGUAAAGCGUGCGCAGGCGGUUCGUCAAGUCUGAUGUGAAAGCCCCGGGCUCAACCUGGGAACUGCAUUGGAUACUAGCGAGCUUGAGUGUGGCAGAGGGGGGUGGAAUUCCACGUGUAGCAGUGAAAUGCGUAGAGAUGUGGAGGAACACCGAUG
rnacentral:rRNA from 1 species